rnacentral:rRNA from 1 species
AACGAACGCUGGCGGCAUGCCUAACACAUGCAAGUCGAGCGAGACCUUCGGGUCUAGUGGCGCACGGGUGCGUCACGCGUGGGAACCUGCCCUUAGGUUCGGAAUAACUCCCCGAAAGGGGUGCUAAUACCGGAUAAUGUCUUCGGACCAAAGAUUUAUCGCCUUUGGAUGGGCCCGCGUUGGAUUAGCUCGUUGGUAGGGUAAAAGCCUACCAAGGCGACGAUCCAUAGCUGGUCUGAGAGGAUGAUCAGCCACACUGGGACUGGGACACGGCCCAGACUCCUACGGGAGGCAGCAGUGGGGAAUGGUGGACCAUGGGCGGAAGCCUGAGCCAGCAAUGCCGGGAGAGUGAUGAAGGCAUUAGGGUUGUAAAGCUCUUUUACCCGGGAUGAUAAUGACAGUACCGGGAGAAUAAGCUCCGGCUAACUCCGUG